GUUGAACGCUGGCGGCAUGCCUUACACAUGCAAGUCGAACGGCAGCAUGGAGAGCUUGCUCUCUGAUGGCGAGUGGCGAACGGGUGAGUAAUGCAUCGGAACGUACCGUGUAAUGGGGGAUAACGUAGCGAAAGUUACGCUAAUACCGCAUACGACCUGAGGGUGAAAGCAGGGGAUCGCAAGACCUUGCGUUAUACGAGCGGCCGAUGUCAGAUUAGCUAGUUGGUGAGGUAAAGGCUCACCAAGGCGACGAUCUGUAGCGGGUCUGAGAGGAGGAUCCGCCACACUGGGACUGGGACCCGGCCCAGACUGCUACGGGAGGCAGCAGUGGGGAAUUUUGGACAAUGGGGGCAACCCGGAUCCAGCCAUGCCGCGUGAGUGAAGAAGGCCUUCGGGUUGUAAAGCUCUUUCGGCCGGGAAGAAAUCGCACAGGCUAAUACUCUGUGUGGAUGACGGUACCGGCAUAAGAAGCACCGGCUAACUACGUGCCAGCCGCCGCUGUAA
rnacentral:rRNA from 1 species